CCCAGACCAAGUGCAUGGAAACGAUGGCUCAUGUCUCUCAACAUUUGCCCAAGGGAAUGGUGCCUACCUUGCAACUCAGCGUGAUGUCACCUUUAUUAGCCAUUCUGGUGUCUAUACAAAAUAUUUGCUCCCCAUUUCUUCUUAUCGAUGCCUGGUCAGCAACAAUCAUGUAAAUAAGUUUCCAUUCUUUUGAGGAAGAUAACGAAGUCAGCGUUUUUCAGAAGUGGUGCCUAGGAAGAGACAAAAUCCAGGACACACCUCUAGUUCAGAGUCUCAGUCGCCCAGGCUGGAGUGCAGCAGCACAAUCUCACCUCAUUGCAACCUCCGCCUCCCAGGUUCAAGCAAUUCUCCCACCUCAGCUUCCUAGUAGCUGGGAUUACAGGCACUCACCACCAUGCCCAGCUAAUUUUUUGAAUUUUUAGUAGAGACGGGAUUUCACCAUAUUGGCCAUGCUGGUCUUGAACCCCCGACCUCAAAUGAUUCGCCCGCCUCAGCCUCCCAAAGUGCUGGGAUUACAGGCGUGAGUAUCUUAGUUUUUAACAAAAAAGUGUGAAAAGGAAAGAAAAAAUUUAAAGUUUUAAAAAUAGAAAAAAGUUUAUAAAAUAAUGUUAUAAAUAAUGAGAAUAUUUUUGUAUAGCUAUACAAUGUGUUUUAAGCUAAGUGCUAUUACAAAAAGAGUCAAAAAGGUUUUUUUAAUUUAAAAGUUUGGGGGUUUUUUGUUUUGUUUUUGUUUUUGUUUUUGUUUUUUUGAGAUGACGUUUCUUUCUUGCCUCCCAGACUGGAGUGCAGUGGCGUGGUGAUCCCAGUUCACUGCAACGUCCGCCUCCCCAGUUUCAAGCAAUUCUCCUGCCUCAGCCUCCCAAGUAACUGGGAUUACAGGCAUGUGCCACCAUGCCCAGCUAAAUUUUGUAUUUUUAGUAGAGAUGGGGAUUCACUAUGUUGGCCAGGCUGGUCUCAAUCUCCUGACCUCAGGUGGUUUACCUGCCUCGGCCUCCCAAAGUGCUGGUAUUACAGGCAUGAGCCACCACACCCGGCCUAAUUAAAAAGUUUAUAAAGUAAAAAAGUUAUAGUAAGAUAAGGUUAACUUAUUAUUGGAGAGAGAAAAAAUGGUUUUUACAAAUUAGGUAUAGCUUAAGUGUACAGUGUUUUUAAAGUCUACAGUAGUGUACAGUAAUGUACUAGGCCUUCAUAUUCGCUCAACACUGACUCACUGACUCACCCAGAGCAGCUUCUAAUCCUGCAAACUCCAUUCAUGAUAAGUUCCCUACACAAGUAUCCCAUUUUUUAUCUUUAUACCAUAUUUUCACUGUACCCUUUCUACGUUUAGAUACACAAAUACUAUUGUGUUACAUUUGCCUACAGUAUUCAAUACAGUAACAUGCUGUCUGGCUUUGUAGCCUAGAAGCAAUAGGCUAUGCCACAUAGCCUAGGUGUGCAGUAGGCUACACCAUCUAGGUUUGUGGAAGUACACAUCUUGAUGUUCACACAAUGAUGAAAUGGCCUAACAAUGCAUUUCUCAGAAUGUAUGAUGCAUGGCUAUAUAUAAAAUUAUGCUGAAAUCUAAAAAAAUGAGAUGAUGGUCAUAAUGACAAUGAUGAAGAUGACUAUAUGUUUCAGCUUCUACUCCAUGGUCCUUUGAGGACAACUGAAGUAACUAGAUAUGAUUUUUGUCAGUUGUGUUUUAAGUGUAUGUAUCAAAUCCAGCUACCCCAAGUUUUACAAUAACUUUAUAUGGUUUAAUCUUAUCUUGCUGAACACAUUAGAUAUGCUGCCCUGAAAAGUGGCUUGCAAACAGAAUUUUUAGAAACUGAACCAUAAUUAAAAUGCACAGAGGCCGGGCACGGUGGCUCACACCUGUAAUCCCAGUACUUUGGGAAGCCAAGACAGGCGGAUCACCUGAGGUCAGGAGUUUGAGACCAGCCUGACCAACAUGAAGAAACCCUGUCUCUACUAAAAAUACAAAAUUAGCCAUGCGUGGUGGCACAUGGCUGUAAUCCCAGCUACUCAGGAAGCUGAGGCAGGAGAAUCGCUUGAACCCAGGAGGCGGAGGUUGUGGUGAGCCGAGAUCGCGCCAUUGCACUCCAGCCUGGGCAACAAGAGCGAAACUCUGUCUCAAAAAAAAAAUGCACAGAGAAGGUUUCCAUGUAUCUAGUGGAAUUGUACAAUGCUUAUGUGAUCUUGUGAUAUCAUUAAUAUUUUGUAAUAUAAAUAAUUAUCCUCAUUAUUUUAAUUUUCUGGCAUUGUAGCAACACCUGUAUAAAUAUUUAUAGUUACUUAAGAACUCACAAAACAACCUUUUGAAGUAGGCAAAUAAAACCAACUCUUGGUUAUCUCAAAGAGUUCUUUUUGUUUGAUUCUUGUGUUAUCUACAUUUCUUCUCUCACUGUAAAUUGGCAUAAAUUUGGCAGAUACAAAACAAGUAAAGUUCAAACUCCUCCACUCAACCACUUUAAGGGAUUUUUUUUCCUGCUUAUAAGUAUAUCACAUGUUCAUUGUAGAAAAUUUGGAAAUGCAG
rnacentral:lncRNA from 1 species